rnacentral:lncRNA from 1 species
UUCUGUUUCAGUAAUCAGAAUUCAUUCUUGACCUUGGUAAACUCAUCUAGUGUCAGCAUUCUUUGGGACAAACUCUUUGUGUAUUGAGGUAUACUCUCUGGCAUUCUUGUGUAACUCCGUGGUAUCAGUUUCAGACAGAAGCACAUUAGCUAGAUGCCUAGUGUGACAGCUUUCCCAGGCAGUGCUGGUAGUAUUUAGCUUAAGCCAGCAAGAUUAAGUGAGCUCUCUAGUUAGAGAAUCCCAGUUCUGAGCUGUUGAACUCAUGUUGAAACAAGAGUUUAGUAUCUGCACGGAAAGAACUGUGCCUGAAACAACUGACCAGGUUAUCUGGAUUUCAGCUUCCAUCAUCUAUUGUGAGCACAGGUUCUAUCCUUACCCUCUGUUUCACCACAGACUUUGCUGUCAGUGCUCAAGGUUUCAAAGCUAUCUACGAAGGUAAGAAUUAUUUUCCUACUUGGUCUUUCAUUUACUUGGAAUACAUUUUUGAUGCUGAAACGUUUCCAUUUUCAUUGUUAAGGGUUUGAAUCGUCAUUGACAAUUGCAUAACCUUUUUUUCUGGCAUAUUUAAAUGCAACUACAUCAUGGACAAAGUCUUCAUUUGACGUUUAAUUCAAUCAAACUAAUACUUUAAUUUCAGCUGGGAUUUUUAAUCAAAUUUGUCAGGUUUCUAAAGCUGGGUUAGGAAAUGCUUACAUUCAAAUGGAUUUCUUGUUAUUUUCUGAAUUUCUUUUGACAACUUCUUUAGGCAGUGCCUGACUAGAGGGGUUUAAUGAUAAAAAUGAAAAGAGAGAUGAAUGUUAACUGGUUCUGAAAAUCAAUUGGUAAUCUGCUAGUGGGGGAAAAUUUGUUUGUGUACAUAUGUUAUAUUCUUUAUUUUUUUUCCCUUAUUCUCCAAAACCAAAGCAAUUCAAAGCCAGUUCUAUGGAAGCUACUAGAGUACAAUGAUGAUUGCACAGUUUUGGGAGAAAAAAAUAAGUUCAAGCAUUUCAUAUCUUCUAGUUUCUUCAAAGAGUUAAGCUCAUAAAAUUGGACUGGAUCAAUUUUUGUAAUGUGGUGACUUGUGCAAAAGGUUUUGAAAUCUGCAAACCUAGGGAAAAUUUGCAGAUACAGUGGUAUUAAGUCAGUUGCUUAUGUUUGGGUAGUGAGCGCAGUUUGAGUUUAACUUCAGGAUUGCAUUUAAACUGUGUGUGAAUGUUAGCUUGGUUGGUUGUGCUUAAUUUUCUGUACUUUUUUGUGACUGGGAUGGGUAGCUUAUCAGUUUGUCUUUACCUCGUAGCUGUUUCCCCUUUUGCUUUGUCCUCUAAAGCCUUGUCAGCUGAAUAGCAAGAGUGUCUCCAUCUUCUUUUUUUCUUUUAAACUUGGGUGAGGGCUGUGAUGAAAGGCUAGAGAAGUUUAAUAUUUUUCAAGUUUUAUUAGGUAAGUUGAGAAGGAACAUCAGU